GGCUUGAUAGUACCAGAAGAGGAAGAGACGGCUAACUCUGUGCCAGCAGCCGCGGUAAUACAGAGGUCUCAAGCGUUGUUCGGAUUCAUUUGGCGUAAAGGGUGUGUAGGUGGCGCCGUAAGUCGGGUGUGAAAUCUCGGGGCUUAACUCCGAAACUGCAUUCGAUACUGCGGUGCUUGAGGACUGGAGAGGAGACUGGAAUUCAUGGUGUAGCAGUGAAAUGCGUAGAGAUCAUGAGGAAGACCAGUGGCGAAGGCGGGUCUCUGGACAGUUCCUGACACUGAGACACGAAGGCCAGGGGAGCAAACGGGAUUAGAUACCCCGGUAGUCCUGGCAGUAAACGGUGCACGUUUGGUGUGGGAGGAUUCGACCCCUUCUGCGCCGGAGCUAACGCGUUAAACGUGCCGCCUGGGGAGUACGGUCGCAAGAUUAAAACUCAAAGAAAUUGACGGGGGCCCGCACAAGCGGUGGAGUAUGUGGCUUAAUUCGAUGCAACGCGAAGAACCUUACCUGGCCUUGACAUGCAUCUCUAAGCUGGUGAAAGCCAGUACUCUCGAAAGGGAGAAUUU
rnacentral:rRNA from 1 species